AUUUUCUUUUCUUUUCUUCUUUUUUUUUUUGAACUUCAGCAACUCGUGUAGAGACCCCAGGGCCACAUGUGGCAGAAUUUUACUGAUAAUUGUUUCUUACCAUGUAUAUGGAGAAACCCGACUAAUAACCUUUCUUAAACCCAAUACUUUUUAACUAGAACUUUAUUUGAUUAAUCUCAUGGAAUGUGGGAGGAGAAAAUCUUGAGAUAGAUAUGUCAAAGAUUUCAGAAGAAUUGGGUGAAACAUGAAUUCACCAAAGGAAAAGCAUGUGUGGCACUUAUCGAGGACAAAGCACUGGAGAGCCAAGUUACACUAUAAGAGAAAGUGUGAUAAAAAUUUGAGUAUGUUUAAGGGUUGAAGGUUUAGCAAAUUGAAUGGAAUCGCUCAAGGAAUGUUGAUGGAAUGUGUGAGAAAAGAUGUGGAAAACUUGCUGUGGCAGCAGAUGCAGACUUUAAUUGGAACAGGCGGC
rnacentral:lncRNA from 1 species